rnacentral:rRNA from 1 species
GCCGGCAGCUAGCUGUCUGCAGCUAACACAUGGUCGACCACUGAAACGAAGCAGGACUGUGCCUGGUCAGUACCUGGAUGGGAGACCACAUGGGAAAGCUAGGUUGCUGCCCGCA